GACGAACGCUGGCGGCGUGCUUAACACAUGCAAGUCGAGCGGAAAGGCCCUUUCGGGGGUACUCGAGCGGCGAACGGGUGAGUAACACGUGAGUAAUCUGCCCUGGACUCUGGGAUAGCCACCGGAAACGGUGAUUAAUACCGGAUAUGACACCUUGCUGCAUGGUGGGGUGUGGAAAGUUUUUUCGGUCCAGGAUGUGCUCGCGGCCUAUCAGCUUGUUGGUGAGGUAAUGGCUCACCAAGGCUUUGACGGGUAGCGGGCCUGAGAGGGUGCCCGGUCACACUGGGACUGAGACACGGCCCAGACUCCUACGGGAGGCAGCAGUGGGGAAUAUUGGACAAUGGGCGGAAGCCUGAUCCAGCAACGCCGCGUGAGGGAUGACGGCCUUCGGGUUGUAAACCUCUUUCAGUACCGACGAAGCGUGAGUGACGGUAGGUACAGAAGAAGGACCGGCUAACUACGUGCCAGCCGCCGCAGUAAUAC
rnacentral:rRNA from 1 species